UACGGAGGGUGCGAGCGUUAUCCGGAAUCACUGGGUUUAAAGGGUGCGUAGGCGGCGCGGUAAGUCAGGGGUGAAAGCUUCCCGCUCAACGGGAGAGGUGCCCUUGAUACUGCCGGGCUUGAAUUGGGCCGAGGCCGGCGGAACGCGGCAUGUAGCGGUGAAAUGCUUAGAUAUGCCGCAGAACACCGAUUGCGAAGGCAGCCGGCCAGGCCUCGAUUGACGCUGAGGCACGAAAGCGUGGGGAGCGAACAGGAUUAGAUACCC
rnacentral:rRNA from 1 species